rnacentral:rRNA from 1 species
CCUACGGGAGGCAGCAGUGGGGAAUUUUGGACAAUGGGCGAAAGCCUGAUCCAGCCAUGCCGCGUGAGUGAAGAAGGCCUUCGGGUUGUAAAGCUCUUUCAGCCGGAAAGAAAUCGCGCAGGCUAAUACUCUGCGUGGAUGACGGUACCGGAAGAAGAAGCACCGGCUAACUACGUGCCAGCAGCCGCGGUAAUACGUAGGGUGCGAGCGUUAAUCGGAAUUACUGGGCGUAAAGCGUGCGCAGGCGGUUAUAUAAGACAGAUGUGAAAUCCCCGGGCUCAACCUGGGAACUGCGUUUGUGACUGUAUGACUAGAGUACGGCAGAGGGAGGUGGAAUUCCGCGUGUAGCAGUGAAAUGCGUAGAUAUGCGGAGGAACACCGAUGGCGAAGGCAGCCUCCUGGGCCAGUACUGACGCUCAUGCACGAAAGCGUGGGGAGCAAACAGGAUUAGAUACCCUGGUAGUCCACGCCCUAAACGAUGUCAACUAGUUGUUCGGUGAGGAGACUCAUGUAGUACGACGAGCACGACGUGAGUAGACGCCGNGGAGGACGGCGCGAGUAAACGUACGAAGAGUAGAGNGNGAGACGNGCGACGGACGACGACGAGGGGAGGAGG